rnacentral:rRNA from 1 species
CCUACGGGAGGCAGCAGUGGGGGAUAUUGCACAAUGGGGGGAACCCUGAUGCAGCGACGCCGCGUGGGUGAAGAAGCGCCUCGGCGCGUAAAGCCCUGUCAGCAGGGAAGAAAAUGACGGUACCUGAAGAAGAAGCCCCGGCUAACUACGUGCCAGCAGCCGCGGUAAUACGUAGGGGGCCAGCGUUAUCCGGAUUUACUGGGUGUAACGGGGGCGCAGACGGCGAUGCAAGCCAGGAGUGAAAGGCCGGGGCCCAACCCCGGGACUGCUGUUGGAACUGCGUGGCUGGAGUGCAGGAGGGGCAGGCGGAAUUCGUGGUGUAGCGGUGAAAUGCGUAGAUAUCAGGAGGAACACCGGUGGCGAAGGCGGCCUGCUGGACUGGAACUGACGUUGAGGCCCGAAAGCGUGGGGAGCAAACAGGAUUAGAUACCCCUGUAGUC